rnacentral:rRNA from 1 species
GCCCAGCCGUAAACAAUUAACUUACACCCAUAAGCGCCAGGGAACUACGAGCCAUGCUUAAAACCCAAAGGAUUUGACGGUGUUCCACCCAACUAGAGGAGCCUGUUCUAUAAUCGAUGAUCCCCGAUACACCCGACCACUCCUAGCUUAUCAGUCUGUAUACCUCCGUCGAAAGCUUACCAUGUGAACGUCUACAGUAGGCCCAAGGACCCGCAUAGCGCGUCAAUACGUCAGGUCAAGGUGCAACUUAAGGAGUGGGAAGUAAUUGGCUACAAUUUCUAACCUAGAACAAACGAAAGACUGCAUGAAAUCACAGUCACGAAGGCGGAUUUAGCAGUAAAAAGAAAAUAGAGAGUUCUUUUUAACCCGGCCCUGGAACGCGUACACACCGCCCGUCGCCCUCUUCGAUAGUAUCACUACCCCGUCCCUAACCAAUUUCCACGUCUUAGAAGAGGUAAGUCGUAACAUGGUAAGUGUACUGGAAAGUGUACUUGGAAUAUAGCAAAAUGUAGCUUAACAAAAGCCCCCCGCUUACACCGAGAAGUUAUCUGUUUGACCCAGAUCAUUUUGAGCCCUAAAUCUAGCCCACACAACCCCCUAUAACAUUACCAAACUACUGUAAAAAAUAAAACAUUUUAACAUUUUAGUAUAGGCGAUAGAAAAAUCACUAAGCGCUUUAGAGAAAGUACCGUAAGGGAAAAAUGAAAUAGAAAUGAAACAAUACCACAGCCACAAAUAGCAGAGAUAUCCCCUCG